UAAUACGAAGGGGGCAAGCGUUGUUCGGAAUCAUUGGGCGUAAAGCGCGUGUAGGCUGUCUAUUAAGUCGGGUGUGAAAUCCCUGGGCUCAACCGAGGAAGUGCAUUCGAAACUAAUAGACUAGAAGGUGGUAGAGGAUGGUGGAAUUCCAGGUGUAGAGGUGAAAUUCGUAGAUAUCUGGAGGAAUACCGGUGGCGAAGGCGGCCAUCUGGGCCACCCUUGACGCUGAGACGCGAAAGCGUGGGUAGCAAACAGG
rnacentral:rRNA from 1 species